rnacentral:rRNA from 1 species
GAUGAACGCUAGCUACAGGCUUAACACAUGCAAGUCGAGGGGCAUCAGGAAGAAAGCUUGCUUUCUUUGCUGGCGACCGGCGCACGGGUGAGUAACACGUAUCCAACCUGCCCUUUACUCGGGGAUAGCCUUUCGAAAGAAAGAUUAAUACCCGAUAGCAUAAUGAUUCCGCAUGGUUUCAUUAUUAAAGGAUUCCGGUAAAGGAUGGGGAUGCGUUCCAUUAGGUUGUUGGUGAGGUAACGGCCCACCAAGCCUUCGAUGGAUAGGGGUUCUGAGAGGAAGGUCCCCCACAUUGGAACUGAGACACGGUCCAAACUCCUACGGGAGGCAGCAGUGAGGAAUAUUGGUCAAUGGGCGCUAGCCUGAACCAGCCAAGUAGCGUGAAGGAUGAAGGCUCUAUGGGUCGUAAACUUCUUUUAUAUAAGAAUAAAGUGCAGUAUGUAUACUGUUUUGUAUGUAUUAUAUGAAUAAGGAUCGGCUAACUCCGUGCCAGCAGCCGCGGUAAUACGGAGGAUCCGAGCGUUAUCCGGAUUUAUUGGGUUUAAAGGGAGCGUAGGUGGACUGGUAAGUCAGUUGUGAAAGUUUGCGGCUCAACCGUAAAAUUGCAGUUGAUACUGUCAGUCUUGAGUACAGUAGAGGUGGGCGGAAUUCGUGGUGUAGCGGUGAAAUGCUUAGAUAACACGAAGAACUCCGAUUGCGAAGGCAGCUCACUGGACUGCAACUGACACUGAUGCUCGAAAGUGUGGGUAUCAAACAGGAUUAGAUACCCUGGUAGUCCACACAGUAAACGAUGAAUACUCGCUGUUUGCGAUAUACAGUAAGCGGCCAAGCGAAAGCAUUAAGUAUUCCACCUGGGGAGUACGCCGGCAACGGUGAAACUCAAAGGAAUUGACGGGGGCCCGCACAAGCGGAGGAACAUGUGGUUUAAUUCGAUGAUACGCGAGGAACCUUACCCGGGCUUAAAUUGCAGUGGAAUGAUGUGGAAACAUGUCAGUGAGCAAUCACCGCUGUGAAGGUGCUGCAUGGUUGUCGUCAGCUCGUGCCGUGAGGUGUCGGCUUAAGUGCCAUAACGAGCGCAACCCUUAUCUUCAGUUACUAACAGGUCAUGCUGAGGACUCUGGAGAGACUGCCGUCGUAAGAUGUGAGGAAGGUGGGGAUGACGUCAAAUCAGCACGGCCCUUACGUCCGGGGCUACACACGUGUUACAAUGGGGGGUACAGAAGGCAGCUAGCGGGUGACCGUAUGCUAAUCCCAAAAUCCUCUCUCAGUUCGGAUCGAAGUCUGCAACCCGACUUCGUGAAGCUGGAUUCGCUAGUAAUCGCGCAUCAGCCACGGCGCGGUGAAUACGUUCCCGGGCCU